CCCUUAGAUGUUCUGGGCCGCACGCGCGCUACACUGACGAAUGCAACGAGCUUAUAACCUUGGCCGAAAGGUCUGGGUAAUCUCCAAAUUUCGUCGUGAUGGGGAUAGAUUAUUGCAAUUAUUAAUCUUCAACGAGGAAUGCCUAGUAAGCGCAAGUCAUCAGCUUGCGUUGAUUACGUCCCUGCCCUUUGUACACACCGCCCGUCGUACCUACCGAUUGAAUGGUCCGGUGAAAUCUCGGGACGGCGGCUUGGUCGCUUGCGUCCGACUGCUGAAACUUGAUUAAACCAUAUCAUUUAGAGGAAGGUGAAGUCGUAACA
rnacentral:rRNA from 1 species